rnacentral:sRNA from 1 species
AGCUGUGCUAUGCAGGGUCCCUUGACCUAAACGUCAUCAUGCAGCACGUGGCCAUAGUGAAGCCCAGGAGCCUGUGGCUUGCUCCACUCAGGCGAUCCACCGCCAGCCCUGCAGACCCAGGAAAUCAGUUUCCCCAAACACCCACUCCAAGCCUUCAGGCUCAUCAUGCCAGGGCGGAUCCCAGAGGCCCUGCAGCGGGAAUGGCCACUGCAGCGGAGAUGGGAGCAGACAGGGCGACGGGUCCUGCCGGUGCCACAUGGGGUACCAGGGCCCGCUGUGCACUGACUGCAUGGACGGCUACUUCAGCUCGCUCCGGAACGAGACCCACAGCAUCUGCACAGCCUGUGACGAGUCCUGCAAGACGUGCUCGGGCCUGACCAACAGAGACUGCGGCGAGUGUGAAGUGGGCUGGGUGCUGGACGAGGGCGCCUGUAUGGAUGUGGACGAGUGUGCGGCCGAGCCGCCUCC